AUUGAACGCUGGCGGCAUGCUUUACACAUGCAAGUCGAACGGUAACAGGCCGCAAGGUGCUGACGAGUGGCGAACGGGUGAGUAAUGCAUCGGAACGUGCCCAGUCGUGGGGGAUAACGCAGCGAAAGCUGCGCUAAUACCGCAUACGAUCUCUGGAUGAAAGCGGGGGACCGAAAGGCCUCGCGCGAUUGGCGCCGCCGAUGUCAGAUUAGGUAGUUGGUGGGGUAAAGGCCCACCAAGACAACGAUCUGUAGCUGGUCUGAGAGGACGACCGGCCACACUGGGACUGAGACACGGCCCAGACUCCUACGGGAGGCAGCAGUGGGGAAUUUUGGACAAUGGGCGCAAGCCUGAUCCAGCAAUGCCGCGUGCAGGAAGAAGGCCUUCGGGUUGUAAACUGCUUUUGUACGGAACGAAACGGUCCGGGUUAAUACCCUGGGCUAAUGACGGUACCGUAAGAAUAAGCACCGGCUAACUACGUGCCAGCCGCCGCCGUAAAAC
rnacentral:rRNA from 1 species